AGCAGCCGCGGUAAUUCCAGCUCCAAUAGCGUAUAUUAAAGUUGUUGCAGUUAAAAAGCUCGUAGUUGAAUUUCGGGAUCAAUUUGCUGGUCGUGCCUUCGGUACGCACUGGUAUUAUUGGUUUCUCCUUUCUGAUGAAUCGCGAUGUCAUUAAUUUGGUGUCGUGGGGAAUCAGGACCGUUACUUUGAAAAAAUUAGAGUGUUUAAAGCAGGCUCACGCUUGAAUACAUUAGCAUGGAAUAAUGAAAUAGGACGUUUGAUUCUAUUUUGUUGGUUUCUAGGAUCGACGUAAUGAUUAAUAGGGAUAGUUGGGGGCAUUAGUAUUCAAUUGUCAGAGGUGAAAUUCUUGGAUUUAUUGAAGACUAACUACUGCGAAAGCAUUUGCCAAGGAUGUUUUCAUCAAUCAAGAACGAAAGUUAGGGGAUCGAAGACGAUCAGAUACCGUCGUAGUCUUAACCAUAAACUAUGCCGACUAGGGAUCGGAUGAUGUUAAUUUUUUAACGACUCA
rnacentral:rRNA from 1 species